GACGAACGCUGGCGGCGUGCUUAACACAUGCAAGUCGAACGGUAAGGCCCUUCGGGGUACACGAGUGGCGAACGGGUGAGUAACACGUGGGUGAUCUGCCCUGCACUUCGGGAUAAGCCUGGGAAACUGGGUCUAAUACCGGAUAGGACCACUGCCUGCAUGGGUGGUGGUGGAAAGCUUUUGCGGUGUGGGAUGGGCCCGCGGCCUAUCAGCUUGUUGGUGGGGUGAUGGCCUACCAAGGCGACGACGGGUAGCCGGCCUGAGAGGGUGACCGGCCACACUGGGGCUGAGAUACGGCCCAGACUCCUGCGGGAGGCAGCAGUGGGGAAUAGUGCACAAUGGGCGCAAGCCUGAUGCAGCGACGCCGCGUGAGGGAUGACGGCCUUCGGGUUGUAAACCUCUUUCAGCACCGACGAAGCGCAAGUGACGGUAGGUGCAGAAGAAGGACCGGCCAACUACGUGCCAGCCGCCGCUGUAA
rnacentral:rRNA from 1 species